ensembl:lncRNA
GGCGAGGUGUGGCGAGCUGUGGUGUGGUGUGGUGAGGUGUGGUGAGGUGCUGUGUGGUGUGGUGAGGUGUGGUAAGGUAAGGUGAGGUGUGAUGUGGUGAGGUGAGGUGUGAUGUGGUGAGGUGAGAUGAGUUGAGGUGUGGUGUGGUGAGGUAUGGUGAGGUGUGAUGUGGUGAGGUGAGGUGUGAUGUGGUGAGGUGAGAUGAGUUGAGGUGUGGUGUGGUGAGGUAUGGUGAGGUGAGAUGAGGUGAAAGGUGUGGUGAGGUGUGUUGAGAUGAGUUGAGGUGUGGUGUGGUGAGAUGAGUUGAGGUGUGGAAUGGUGUGGUGAGGUAAGGUGAGCUGUGGUGCGGUGUGUUGAGGUUAGGUGUGGUGAUGUUUGGU